rnacentral:rRNA from 1 species
UACGAAGGGGGCGAGCGUUGUUCGGAUUUACUGGGCGUAAAGGGCGCGUAGGCGGCCCACCAAGUCAGGCGUGAAAGCCCCGGGCUCAACCUGGGAACGGCGCUUGGGACUGAUGGGCUGGAGUUCGGGAGAGGAGAGUGGAAUUCCCAGUGUAGAGGUGAAAUUCGUAGAUAUUGGGAAGAACACCGGUGGCGAAGGCGGCUCUCUGGACCGACACUGACGCUGAGGCGCGAAAGCUAGGGGAGCGAACGGG